rnacentral:tRNA from 1 species
CGCAGCGUAGCAUAAGGGUAAUGCGCUUGCCUCAUAAGCAAGAAGAUAUGGGUUCAAGUCCCAUCGCUGUGACCA